rfam:Candidatus Woesebacteria bacterium RIFCSPHIGHO2_01_FTLL_41_10 rifcsphigho2_01_scaffold_824, whole genome shotgun sequence.
UGCGGGGUAGUGUACGGUUGCACGCGAGGCUCAUAAUCUCGCAGGCCGGGUUCGACCCCCGGCCCCGCGA